rnacentral:tRNA from 1 species
UCGGGUAUAGUUCAGCGGUAGAAUAUAUGCUUAGCCUGCACGAGGUCCUGGGUUCAAUCCCCAGUACCUCUG